GCCUUCUUAGCUCAGCGGUAGAGCGUUCCACUCGUACCGACCGACUGUGAGAUGGAAAGGUCGCUAGUUCAAGUCUGGCAGGAGGCA
rnacentral:tRNA from 1 species